rnacentral:rRNA from 1 species
GACGAACGCUGGCGGCGUGCUUAACACAUGCAAGUCGAACGGAAAGGCCCUGCUUGCAGGGUACUCGAGUGGCGAACGGGUGAGUAACACGUGGGUGAUCUGCCCUGCACUUCGGGAUAAGCUUGGGAAACUGGGUCUAAUACCGGAUAGGAACCAUCUUUAGUGUGGUGGUUGGAAAGUUUUUUCGGUGUAGGAUGAGCUCGCGGCCUAUCAGCUUGUUGGUGGGGUAAUGGCCUACCAAGGCGGCGACGGGUAGCCGGCCUGAGAGGGGGUACGGCCAGCGUUGGGCGGGGAAACGGCCCCGAAUCCCACGGGGGGCAGCAGGGGGGAAUAUUGGACAAUGGGCGCAAGGCUGAUGCAGCGGAGCCGCGUGGGGGAUGAAGGCCUUCGGGGUGGAAACUCCUUUCGCUAGGGACGAAGCUUUGUUGUGACGGUACCUAGAUAAGAAGCACCGGCUAACUACGUG